rnacentral:rRNA from 1 species
UUCUGCAUUCAAGUCUUCCAGUUUCCAAUGACCAUCCACGGUUGAGCCGUGGGCUUUCACAUCAGACUUAAAAGACCGCCUGCGCUCGCUUUACGCCCAAUAAAUCCGGACAACGCUUGUCACCUACGUAUUACCGCGGCUGCUGGCACGUAGUUAGCCGUGACUUUCUGGUCGGAUACCGUCAGCGCGAAUACCAGUUACUGUACUCCGUGUUCUUCUCCGAUAACAGAGCUUUACGAUCCGAAGACCUUCUUCACUCACGCGGCAUUGCUCCAUCAGGCUUUCGCCCAUUGUGGAAGAUUCCCUAC